GACGAACGCUGGCGGCGUGCCUAAUACAUGCAAGUUGAGCGCUGAAGGUUGGUACUUGUACCAACUGGAUGAGCCGCGAACGGGUGAGUAACGCGUGGGGAAUCUGCCUUUGAGCGGGGGACAACAUUUGGAAACGAAUGCUAAUACCGCAUAAAAACUUUAAACACAAGUUUUAAGUUUGAAAGAUGCAAUUGCAUCACUCAAAGAUGAUCCCGCGUUGUAUUAGCUAGUUGGUGAGGUAAAGGCUCACCAAGGCGAGGAUACAUAGCCGAACUGAGAGGGUGAUCGGCCACACUGGGACUGAGACACGGCCCAAAGUCCUUCAGGAGGGAGCAGGAGGGAAUCGUCGGCCAUGGGCGAAAGUCUGACCGAGCAACGCCGCGGGAGUGAAGAAGGGUGUCGGAUCGGAAAACUCGGUUGGUAGGGAAGAACGUUGGUGCGAGUGGAAAGCUCAGCAAGUGACGGUAACUACCCAGAAAGGGACGGCUAACUACGUG
rnacentral:rRNA from 1 species